GACGUAGGGGGCCAGCGUUGUUCGGAAUUACUGGGUGUAAAGGGUUCGUAGGCGGUGCGGCAAGUUGGGAGUGAAAUCUCUGGGCUUACCCAGAGGCUGCUUCCAAAACUGCUGUGCUUGAGUGUGGGAGAGGCGCGUGGAAUUGCAGGUGUAGCGGUGAAAUGCGUAGAUAUCUGCAGGAACACCCGUGGCGAAAGCGGCGCGCUGGACCACUACUGACGCUGAGGAACGAAAGCUAGGGGAGCAAACAGG
rnacentral:rRNA from 1 species